AACAGCGUGGCUUACUGGAAAAAGCACAGGCCUGGAAGUCAGAGAAUCUGGGUUCUAAUCCCAGCCCUGUCA
rnacentral:tRNA from 1 species